UAUACAUAGAGCAAAGUAAAUAAAUAGAAUAUUAAAUCAUGUAAUAUCUGCAUGUGCGUAACUAGCAUUAAAAAGGUAUAUUAAAAUGGCAUGGCAACAAUCAGAUAAAAGUUAUUAAUCUGUGCCAUGUUGGAAGUUUGGAAGUCGUCUGAAGUCUUAUUCUUAUGUUGGUAUGUUGUGUCUGUACUAUGGUUUAUGAAUUAUGAUCUGUGAAUAUGAUAACAAUGGCGAACGACGCUAACUACAGAGAAAUAAAAAGAAGUAAUUAUGCAAUCGAAGGUCGAAAAUACUGUGAUGAGUAAUGUGGUUGUGUAUAUAUGAAGAUGGUAGUUUGUGCAGUGAAUGAAUUUUAGUAUGUGAUAGUGCGAGAAGGUCGAAGAUGUGUUGUAAUCAAUCUGACAAGAAUUACAUGCUAAGAGAAGAAAAGGAAAGGACACAGUGAGGCAGAGAGCACCUUCAAUUGAGUGCGUUCAAGAAGAAAGACAAGAAAAAGCAGCCCACGCCUCAGGAGCCCCCUCCACCAGAGCAUGUAUGUCAUGACCCCAGAGACGUCGUAAUGGUGGAGGGAGG